rnacentral:tRNA from 1 species
GGCGUGGUGGCUGAGUGGUUAAGCACUUGGCUUCCAAACCUGAGGUCCUGGGUUCGAAUCUCUGUGAAGCCU